UCCGGUUUGUCACCGGCAGUCUCAUUAGAGUGCCCAACUGAAUGUAGCAACUAAUGACAAGGGUUGCGCUCGUUGCGGGACUUAACCCAACAUCUCACGACACGAGCUGACGACAGCCAUGCAGCACCUGUGUUCCAAUUCCCUUUCGGGCACCCCCGACUUUCAUCGGGGUUCUGGACAUGUCAAGGGUAGGUAAGGUUUUUCGCGUUGCAUCGAAUUAAUCCACAUCAUCCACCGCUUGUGCGGGUCCCCGUCAAUUCCUUUGAGUUUUAAUCUUGCGACCGUACUCCCCAGGCGGUCAACUUCACGCGUUAGCUGCGUUACCAAAGAAUUGCUUCUCCGACAACUAGUUGACAUCGUUUAGGGCGUGGACUAC
rnacentral:misc_RNA from 1 species